GUGGGGAAUAUUGGACAAUGGGCGAAAGCCUGAUCCAGCCAUGGCGCGUGUGUGAAGAAGGUCUUCGGAUUGUAAAGCACUUUAAGUUGGGAGGAAGGGUAGUAACCUAAUACGUUGCUACUUUGACGUUACCGACAGAAUAAGCACCGGCUAACUUCGUGCCAGCAGCCGCGGUAAUACGAAGGGUGCAAGCGUUAAUCGGAAUUACUGGGUGUAAAGCGCGCGUAGGUGGUUCAGUAAGUUGGAAGUGAAAUCCCCGGGCUCAACCUGGGAACUGCUUUCAAAACUGCUGAGCUAGAGUACGGUAGAGGGUGGUGGAAUUUCCUGUGUAGCGGUGAAAUGCGUAGAUAUAGGAAGGAACACCAGUGGCGAAGGCGACCACCUGGACUGAUACUGACACUGAGGUGCGAAAGCGUGGGGAGCAAACAGGAUUAGAAACCCUGGUAGUCC
rnacentral:rRNA from 1 species